rnacentral:rRNA from 1 species
AACGCGAAGAACCUUACCGAGGCUUGACAUCCCUUGAAAUCCGUAGAAAUACGGCUUCCGUAGCAAUACGGCAAGGAGACAGGUGCUGCAUGGCUGUCGUCAGCUCGUGCCGUGAGGUGUUGGGUUAAGUCCCGCAACGAGCGCAACCCUCGCCGUGUGUUGGUCCGCAAGGAUCUCUCACGCGGGACCGCCGGUGAGAAGCCGGAGGAAGGUGGGGAUGACGUCAAGUCAGCAUGGCCCUUACGUCUCGGGCUACACACGUGCUACAAUGGGUGCGACAACGAGUUCCAAGCUCGCGAGGGUAAGGCAAUCUCUUAAACGCAUCCUCAGUUCGGAUUGAAGGCUGCAACUCGCCUUCAUGAAGUCGGAAUCGCUAGUAAACGCAGAUCAGCUACGCUGCGUUGAAUACGUUCCCGGGCCUUGUACACACCGACAUA